rnacentral:rRNA from 1 species
GAUCAUGGCUCAGGAUGAACGCUAGCUACAGGCUUAACACAUGCAAGUCGAGGGGCAGCAUUUUAGUUUGCUUGCAAACUAAAGAUGGCGACCGGCGCACGGGUGAGUAACACGUAUCCAACCUGCCGAGUAACUCGGGGAUAGCCUUUCGAAAGAAAGAUUAAUAUCCGAUAGUAUAUUUUCUCCGCAUGGCGAGAAUAUUAAAGAAUUUCGGUUAUCGAUGGGGAUGCGUUCCAUUAGUUUUG